CGUUACGGCUGCCAUGGUGAGCAUCGGCUUCUGCCGCAGCCGCCGUCCUCCUCCUUGCAGCUUCCUUCAUCGCAGCUCCCUCCUCUAGCCCUGCAGCUUCGUGGGUGAGCGGAACGGCGUUGGCGGUAAACAGUUUUCGUCUGGCGACAUCUGGUCCGUGUGCCGGCUGCCGUGAAGGUCUUCAAAGCUCGUCCGGAAGCCUGCUUCAAAAGGGACUGGUUAAGAAGGCACUGGAGUUCUCCGUGUUCUGCGAAGCUUUUGUUCCUCCCAUCGUCUUCUCAACCAACCGACAGCUUUGAGAUUUUCACCAACUGCAGGUAUUUGGCAGUUAGGUGGUAUUGCAGACUUGAAAGCUAGAGAUUAAAUUGUGACGCCGAGCUUGCAAGGUUGCUUAUCCUCUUCCACAACGUGUUUGGUCUGCUGCUUUGGCGGAUCUGAAACACACUCCCCCCUCAAAUAGCUUCAGUUUCACUUUCAUGAUUUCACAGAGUAGAAUACUAAUAAUGCUGACCCACAGGUGAUCCUAAUGCAGCCCAGCAAAUUACCUUUAUAUCUUCACUUAGAAUGUGAUGUAAAGGUUCGGUCAAAGACUAAAUAAUUGGAUCUCCAAUGAGUAAAAAGAUAAAAGACAAGAAGGAGAGCAGUAGUAGGGGCAUGGUGGUCAACACGGGCAAAAUGUGAUGGCUGAUAAACUUGCAGUAAAUAGUUUGGCAGAAGGCUUGUGCCUGGGAAGGCGAGUAAGCUGUUUCUCGGUGGCAAGGGAGACUCACUGGUCAUUGGGAUGCACAUUGCCUAGUUGACGCAAUCCAUUGAUAGUUGAAACCUGUGAAGAAGUCCAUGGACCAGGUGACUGAUUGUAGGGCGGCCUGUGAAUGGAAGGUAAUUGAAACUCACGCUGCGGCACAUUUAUGAGGUCUGAUUAUGAUGAUGGAAGAUGAAUUGGCUGCUGAACCAGUGUAUCCUACAGUUGUAAAUAACAAAAGCAUUCAUUAGCAUGUCCAGCGAGUUGAAAACAUGUUGCUUUGUCUGACUCAAAGUGAUGGUUGGUAAAGAUUUGCUUUCUAUUACCAGCUGUCUGCUGCUAAUAUGGAUGGAACGAAAGAUAGGAAAGACCAUGGGUUUUUGUCCUUGCUGUGCUCAGACUUUUUAGCUCCACCAUGUAAAAUGGUACAAAACAUAGAUCGUGGGAUUUAUCUUUUCCGUCCUUGCUGCGGUCAUUUAUUUGCCUCCACUAGGAAAAUGGAUAUGAAUAUCCAAGUAGAUGGAACAUGAGACCGGGCAAUGAUUAUAUAUGCUUAUGCCCAGACGUGCUUUGAUGUUGAAGUGGCCACAAGUGUUGAUGACUUGGCCAAAAUUUAUUGAUGCUCCAGUUGCAGGUCCACUUGUGUCAAGGACGAAGAAUGAAUCCGAUCUUUGGUUGGUGCAUGGGUUCCACUGACAUAAGAUGAAUAAGAUACAAAUAUCCAAGUAGAUAGAACAUGAAACCGAGCAAGGAUUAGAUAUGCUCAUGCCAAGACGUGCUUAAAUGUUGAAGUGGCCACGAGCGCUGACGGCUAGCUAAACUUUAUUGAUGUAAGAAAAAAAAAGUAACUUUUUGGAAUGGGUCGUUCAUUGCUCUUUGAAGCUUCACAUGUGGACAAUGGUCAUGAACUAGAUGAAGGUACCAUGGAAAAAGAUGAGGUUCUCAG